CCUACGGGUGGCAGCAGUGAGGAAUAUUGGUCAAUGGCCUGACGGCUGAACCAGCCAUGCCGCGUGAAGGUCAGUGCCCUAUGGGCGUUAAACUUCUUUUGUGCGGGAGCAAUAAUGGUCACGUGUGGCCCGACGAGAGUACCGUACGAAUAAGCAUCGGCUAACUCCGUGCCAGCAGCGGCGGUAAUACAGGGGAUGCACGCGUUAUCCGGAGUUAUUGGGUUUAAAGGGUGCGUAGGCUGUGAGGUAAGUCAGCGGGGAAAUGCCCCAGCUCAACGGGGUGAAGUGCCAUUGAUACUGCCUUGCUGGAAUGCGGAUGCCGUGGGAGGAAUGUGUGGUGUAGCGGUGAAAUGCAUAGAUAUCACACAGAACACCGAUUGCGAAGGCAUCUCACGAAUCCGCGAUUGACGCUGAUGCACGAAAGCGUGGGUAUCAAACAGGAUUAGAUACCCUAGUAGUC
rnacentral:rRNA from 1 species